AUUGCUUCUCAUCCUUUUGGCUAAGAUCAAGUGUAGUAUCUGAGUCAGGCUCACUUUUGACUUCUAUCCACAUGGGCAAAACUAAUUUCCACUAAGAGUCAAUUUCUGUAUGGGUAAGGGGAUAUCUAUU
ensembl:snRNA U2 U2 spliceosomal RNA